rnacentral:lncRNA from 1 species
CUAAUAAGGACUGAGGAAUCUAAAGUCUGCGGGGAGUAGUGUGGUCGAAUAAAGCAGAUUCCUCUCGAGCAGCGUAGUGGACCGAGCCGCGAAGAAGAGAAGGAGGAAAAAAAAGUCCAAGGCACCAACGCCCCGCCAACAAGUCAAACGCAGAGCGAGUGGAAGUAACGUGAGGAUCAGAUGUUUCACGCGCACGCACGGCUUUUCACCACUACUGCGAUGCGUUCUGCAG